rnacentral:rRNA from 1 species
CGGGUGAGUAAUGCGUGACCAACCUCGCCCCAUGCUCCAGAAUAGCUCUUGGAAACGGGUGGUAAUGCUGGAUGCUCCAACUUGACGCAUGUCCUUGUUGGGAAAGUGUUUAGUGGCAUGGGAUGGGGUCGCGUCCUAUCAGCUUGUAGGCGGGGUAAUGGCCCACCUAGGCUUCGACGGGUAGCCGGCCUGAGAGGGCGGACGGCCACAUUGGGACUGAGAUACGGCCCAGACUCCUACGGGAGGCAGCAGGC